rnacentral:rRNA from 1 species
GACGAACGCUGGCGGCGUGCUUAACACAUGCAAGUCGAACGGGCCCGCCCUCUUUUUUGGGGGUGGGUUGAGUGGCGAACGGGUGAGUAUCACGUGAGUAACCUGCCCCCUGCUCCUGGAUAACUGCUUGAAAGGGCGGCUAAUACGGGGUGUGCCGGCUGGUCCGCAUGGGCCUGGUCGGGAUAGUUUCAUCUUCGGGUGUUUCGGUGGGGGAUGGGCUCGCGGCCUAUCAGCUUGUUGGUGGGGUGAUGGCCCACCAAGGCGGUGACGGGUAGCCGGCGUGAGAGGGUGGGCGGCCGAGCGGGGACUGGGACACGGCCCAGCCUCCUGCGGGAGGCAGCAGUGGGGGGUAUUGCACGAUGGGCGGAAGCCUGAUGCAGCGACGGCGCGUGAGGGAUGGGGGCCGUCGGGUUGUGAGCCUCUUUCUCCGGUGGUGAAGGCCCUGUCCGUUGCGGCGGGGUUGACGGUAGCCGGGGAUGAAGCGCCGGCUAACUACGUG